GGCUGGUCCAAGUACAGUAGUGUUUACAACUAUGUGAUCACAACCAGUUACAGAUUUCUUUGUUCCUUCUCCAUCCCCACUGCUUUACUUUACUAGCCAAAA
ensembl:misc_RNA Y_RNA Y RNA